rnacentral:lncRNA from 1 species
GCCGGCCCAGUGGUGCGUCCUCCACCCGACCCGGACACGCGUCCCGUACGGCUCGGACACAGCCGUGGGACAACACCUUUGAGGGUAUGGGCCUGCCCAUUGGAAGGGCCCACUACUGACAUGUAUAUAAGGGGGAGACUGGCUCUCCCCCCAAGGUACGUCACAUUCACGCAUCAUUUCCUCUCCGCCUGCACAUAUUCUGACAAGGGCGUCGGAGUGUC